UUAGGAUCUUGCUUAGAUUUUGAUUCGAAGAAACCAACUUUAAAACACAUUUUAAAGAAAAUCUUGGAAAAUUGAACACAAACUAGGUGUUAGAUGGUAUGAACUAAUUUUGUUGUGUGAUAGCAACAUUGUGAUUAUGUUUUCUUAAAAAAUCUUUAUCUGUUAGAUAUAUAUCCUGAAGUAUCUAUGGAUGAAAUGAUGUGAUGACCGGGAUUUUCUUGUAAAAUUCCAGAAGACAGCAAAAAAAUGGGGAGAAAUAAAUGAGAAAAUAUGGACAGAAUGUUGCCAGUUUGUUGAAACUAGAUGCAGAAACUGAGAAUCAGAAUAAAUAAUCUGAUGAAGUAGAUUUUCAACAGAUGUGGAACAAAGAAAGUUCAGCCUCAAGGUCUGGUUAGCCCUUUGUGUCCCUCAAGUUCCGUCUUCCUUUUGAUGUGCUCGCAGCAGCUCUGAGCCCGGGAGCGCCGGCCCUCCCCGCAUUCUGCCUCCCUGCGCCCGACCGGGCGGAAUGACAUGCCUUCAUCGACGCCCUCUGCACGCCCUUCCACCCUUGCCCUUGCUUGGGGACCUCGUGGGAAACGGCCUCCAAUCCCUGCAUCCAAGUUCAUUAAAAGCC
rnacentral:lncRNA from 1 species